rnacentral:rRNA from 1 species
AGUGAACGCUGGCGGUAGGCCUAACACAUGCAAGUCGAACGGCAGCACAGUAAGAGCUUGCUCUUACGGGUGGCGAGUGGCGGACGGGUGAGGAAUACAUCGGAAUCUACUUUUUCGUGGGGGAUAACGUAGGGAAACUUAUGCUAAUACCGCAUACGACCUACGGGUGAAAGCAGGGGAUCUUCGGACCUUGCGCGACUGAAUGAGACGAUGUCGGAUUAGCUAGUUGGCGGGGUAAAGGCCCACCAAGGCGACGAUCCGUAGCUGGUCUGAGAGGAUGAUCAGCCACACUGGAACUGAGACACGGUCCAGACUCCUACGGGAGGCAGCAGUGGGGAAUAUUGGACAAUGGGCGCAAGCCUGAUCCAGCCAUACCGCGUGGGUGAAGAAGGCCUUCGGGUUGUAAAGCCCUUUUGUUGGGAAAGAAAAGCAGCAGGUUAAUACCCCGCUGUUCUGACGGUACCCAAAGAAUAAGCACCGGCUAACUUCGUG